UACGUAGGGUCCGAGCGUUGUCCGGAAUUAUUGGGCGUAAAGAGCUCGUAGGCGGUGUGUCGCGUCGGCCGUGAAAACUUGCAGCUUAACUGUGGGCGUGCGGUCGAUACGGGCAUCACUGGAGUUCGGCAGGGGAGACUGGAAUUCCUGGUGUAGCGGUGAAAUGCGCAGAUAUCAGGGGGAACACCGGUGGCGAAGGCGGGUCUCUGGGCCGACACUGACGCUGAGGAGCGAAAGCGUGGGGAGCGAACAGG
rnacentral:rRNA from 1 species